UCCCACGGCUGGAACCAUCGUCUUCUCGCUGGUCUUGUGCGCGCCGGGGCUUUGCGGAUUCUUCGGCUUGGUGGGCAUUUCGGGCUGACACUUUUUCCACUCAAGGGCUAAGAAGAUGACGUGGAGGAAGUGGCCAUGUGAAGACAGAGACAUGGGGAGAAUGCCAAGGGAAGAUGGAGGUAGGGAUUGGAGCAAUGCAUCUGCAAGCCAGGGAACGCAUAGGAUCACAGGCCCUCACCAGAAGCUAGGAGAGGCACAUGGAACAGAUUGUCCCUCAAGGCCCUCAGAAGGAAUCUAUAUUGCUGACACCCUGAUUUUGGGCUUCUAGCCUUCAGAACUGAUAGUUUCAGGUUCCCCAAGCUCAAGGUUUCGUCUCUUGUAACAAAGUCCACUGCACAUGCAACUGUCAUCAUCUUUAUUUUGUUGCCCUGUGGGAAUCGAGGUUUGGAGAACUGACACAAAAAUGCUGAUACUGGGACAUGGAACCAAACGCUGAUACUGGGACAUGGAACCAAACGCAUAGAUCAUAGAAGACUUCCUAGAGGAAAUGAUAUCUAUUAUGAAUAAUGAAAUAUAUGUAGGAGUUACUGAAUGAGAGAAUAAUGUGCAAAGAUUCAAUGUAGAAAGAGCAUGAAAACAUUGGGAUACCUGUGGGGGUUUUAGCGGAGCCCAAGCGUUGGGUACACAGUAGAGAAAAGAAGAUGGAAUAAGACUGAAAAAGAACAUUAAAAAAAAUUUAGAAAACUGGGGAGGUAAGGGUGUCCUGACAUUAACAGUCUUGUGUGCCGUGACACAGAGUUUAGACAUGAUAUAAAGAUCAUCAGGAGCCAUUGAAGGAUUUUAAGCAUGGAUAUUUGCAUCUUGGAAAGAUCACAGUACCAAAAACAUUGAAAACAACGGAAUUGGAAAUACAGAGGCCAUUAAGAUCUCUUACUUGGUAAACUGGUUUAGAAUUUAUAAGGAAUUCAAAUAGGAAAUGGCAAAAGUAGGGUCACAUUAAGGACUCAACUAUUGCAAAGAUUAUGAUGUAUACAACUGUACCCCAUGUAUAUUUCAAAUAAAAACUAUACUGGGCCAU